CCUCUUCCUACCGAUACAAUUGUGGCUUCUGAAGAUUCAAAGCAAGAACCUCGUAAAAGCUUGCCAGAGUUGUUGGACUAUAUUUCAUGUAUGCUUCAUUUAGCUGUUUUUGGAAUUCUUGGGGUCUUAACAAGAUAUUUACUUCAAAAGUUAUUUGGUCAUGGGGUUGCCGGCGUGACAACUGACCAAACUAUUCUUUACCUUGACCUUCCUUCUAAUAUGAUUGGUUCAUUUUUAAUGGGAUGGUUUGGAGUUGUGUUCAAAUGAGACAUAUCUCGUGUAUCAGAGCAUCUAGCCAUAGCAAUUACAACUGGUUACUUAGGGAGCCUCACAACCUUCAGUGGUUGGAAUCAAAAAAUGCUUGAACUCAAGUGUUUCCGGUCGCUGGUUCUUCUCUGUACUUGGCUUUCUUUUAGGUAAAUAAGUGCAUUUAAUAAUGGUGUUUGAUAGUUACAGGUUUGUAGCUGUUUCAUUCUGAGAAUGUGUGUCAUAACUUUGAAGGUUGUGAUCAGUGUAUACCUAGUAUUUGAUGCACGUGAAUACCACAAAUUGUGAUACAGUUGUAACAGGAACUCAAUUUGGUCUUUUGGGCUGUCUGAGUACUGUCUCUACAUUUGCUGCAGAGUUUAAUGCAAUGAGAGAAAGCAUGCAUCCUUGGAGAGCA